GGGUUGUGAGGUUAAGCGACUAAGCGUACACGGUGGAUGCCCUGGCAGUCAGAGGCGAUGAAGGACGUGCUAAUCUGCGAAAAGCGUCGGUAAGGUGAUAUGAACCGUUAUAACCGGCGAUGUCCGAAUGGGGAAACCCAGUGCAAUUCGUUGCACUAUCGUUAACUGAAUACAUAGGUUAACGAGGCGAACCGGGGGAACUGAAACAUCUAAGUACCCCGAGGAAAAGAAAUCAACCGAGAUUCCCCCAGUAGCGGCGAGCGAACGGGGAACAGCCCAGAGUCUGAAUCAGCUUGUGUGUUAGUGGAACGGUCUGGAAAGUCCGACGGUACAGGGUGAUAGUCCCGUACACCAAAAUGCACAGGCUGUGAACUCGAAGAGUAGGGCGGGACACGUGGUAUCCUGUCUGAAUAUGGGGGGACCAUCCUCCAAGGCUAAAUACUCCUGACUGACCGAUAGUGAACCAGUACCGUGAGGGAAAGGCGAAAAGAACCCCGGCGAGGGGAGUGAAAAAGAACCUGAAACCGUGUACGUACAAGCAGUGGGAGCACCUUCGGGUGUGACUGCGUACCUUUUGUAUAAUGGGUCAGCGACUUAUAUUCUGUAGCAAGGUUAACCGUAUAGGGGAGCCGCAGGGAAACCGAGUCUUAACUGGGCGUUAAGUUGCAGGGUAUAGACCCGAAACCCGGUGAUCUAGCCAUGGGCAGGUUGAAGGUUGGGUAACACUAACUGGAGGACCGAACCGACUAAUGUUGAAAAAUUAGCGGAUGACUUGUGGCUGGGGGUGAAAGGCCAAUCAAACCGGGAGAUAGCUGGUUCUCCCCGAAAGCUAUUUAGGUAGCGCCUCGUGAAUUCAUCUUCGGGGGUAGAGCACUGUUUCGGCUAGGGGGUCAUCCCGACUUACCAACCCGAUGCAAACUACGAAUACCGAAGAAUGUUAUCACGGGAGACACACGGCGGGUGCUAACGUCCGUCGUGAAGAGGGAAACAACCCAGACCGCCAGCUAAGGUCCCAAAGUCAUGGUUAAGUGGGAAACGAUGUGGGAAGGCACAGACAGCCAGGAUGUUGGCUUAGAAGCAGCCAUCAUUUAAAGAAAGCGUAAUAGCUCACUGGUCGAGUCGGCCUGCGCGGAAGAUGUAACGGGGCUAAACCAUGCACCGAAGCUGCGGCAGCGACACUAUGUGUUGUUGGGUAGGGGAGCGUUCUGUAAGCCUGCGAAGGUGUGCUGUGAGGCAUGCUGGAGGUAUCAGAAGUGCGAAUGCUGACAUAAGUAACGAUAAAGCGGGUGAAAAGCCCGCUCGCCGGAAGACCAAGGGUUCCUGUCCAACGUUAAUCGGGGCAGGGUGAGUCGACCCCUAAGGCGAGGCCGAAAGGCGUAGUCGAUGGGAAACAGGUUAAUAUUCCUGUACUUGGUGUUACUGCGAAGGGGGGACGGAGAAGGCUAUGUUAGCCGGGCGACGGUUGUCCCGGUUUAAGCAUGUAGGCUGGUUGUCCAGGCAAAUCCGGAUAAUCAAGGCUGAGGUGUGAUGACGAGGCACUACGGUGCUGAAGUAACAAAUGCCCUGCUUCCAGGAAAAGCCUCUAAGCAUCAGGUAACAUCAAAUCGUACCCCAAACCGACACAGGUGGUCAGGUAGAGAAUACCAAGGCGCUUGAGAGAACUCGGGUGAAGGAACUAGGCAAAAUGGUGCCGUAACUUCGGGAGAAGGCACGCUGGUGUGUAGGUGAAGCCCCUGCGGGUGGAGCUGAGACCAGUCGAAGAUACCAGCUGGCUGCAACUGUUUAUUAAAAACACAGCACUGUGCAAACACGAAAGUGGACGUAUACGGUGUGACGCCUGCCCGGUGCCGGAAGGUUAAUUGAUGGGGUUAUCCGUAAGGAGAAGCUCUUGAUCGAAGCCCCGGUAAACGGCGGCCGUAACUAUAACGGUCCUAAGGUAGCGAAAUUCCUUGUCGGGUAAGUUCCGACCUGCACGAAUGGCGUAAUGAUGGCCAGGCUGUCUCCACCCGAGACUCAGUGAAAUUGAACUCGCUGUGAAGAUGCAGUGUACCCGCGGCAAGACGGAAAGACCCCGUGAACCUUUACUAUAGCUUGACACUGAACAUUGAGCCUUGAUGUGUAGGAUAGGUGGGAGGCUUUGAAGCGUGGACGCCAGUCUGCGUGGAGCCAACCUUGAAAUACCACCCUUUAAUGUUUGAUGUUCUAACGUUGGCCCCUGACCGGGGUUGCGGACAGUGUCUGGUGGGUAGUUUGACUGGGGCGGUCUCCUCCCAAAGCGUAACGGAGGAGCACGAAGGUUAGCUAAUCCUGGUCGGACAUCAGGAGGUUAGUGCAAUGGCAUAAGCUAGCUUGACUGCGAGCGUGACGGCGCGAGCAGGUGCGAAAGCAGGUCAUAGUGAUCCGGUGGUUCUGAAUGGAAGGGCCAUCGCUCAACGGAUAAAAGGUACUCCGGGGAUAACAGGCUGAUACCGCCCAAGAGUUCAUAUCGACGGCGGUGUUUGGCACCUCGAUGUCGGCUCAUCACAUCCUGGGGCUGAAGUAGGUCCCAAGGGUAUGGCUGUUCGCCAUUUAAAGUGGUACGCGAGCUGGGUUUAGAACGUCGUGAGACAGUUCGGUCCCUAUCUGCCGUGGGCGCUGGAGAAUUGAGGGGGGCUGCUCCUAGUACGAGAGGACCGGAGUGGACGCAUCACUGGUGUUCGGGUUGUCAUGCCAAUGGCACUGCCCGGUAGCUAAAUGCGGAAGAGAUAAGUGCUGAAAGCAUCUAAGCACGAAACUUGCCCCGAGAUGAGUUCUCCCUGAGACUUUAAGUCUCCUGAAGGAACGUUGAAGACGACGACGUUGAUAGGCCGGGUGUGUAAGCGCAGCGAUGCGUUGAGCUAACCGGUACUAAUGAACCGUGAGGCUUAACCUUACAACGCCGAAG
rnacentral:rRNA from 1 species